AAUUCAUAAAGGUAGGAGGGUAACGUUUCUUUUGGCGUUUAGUGUAUUUGUUUCUGUCUGGAGCAUAUAUUUGUUUCAGCAGUAUUACAACUAAGUGAGGAGGUGUCUCAAAAAGUGAGGAAGCAUGUAGCAAAGUGAGGAGACAUGUCAAAAAGUGAGGAGGUGUGUCCAAAAGUGACAAGGCGUGUCAGAAAGUGAGGAGGUGUGUCAAACAGUGAGGAAGUCUGUACCAAAGAGAGGAAGCACUUCAAAAAGUGAGGUGUGUCAAAAAGUCUGUACCAAAGGAGGAAGCAUAAAAGUGAGACAUGCAGGUGACUUCAGGAAACCUAUGGCACUCAGCCAUCCAAAAAAUGUCCAAUCUCGCUGAUGUUUGA